rnacentral:rRNA from 1 species
AACGUAGGACACGAGCGUUAUCCGGAGUUAUUGGGCGUAAAGAGCUCGUAGGCGGUUUGUCGCGUCUGCCGUGAAAGUCCGGGGCUCAACUCCGGAUCUGCGGUGGGUACGGGCAGACUAGAGGUAUGCAGGGGAGAACGGAAUUCCUGGUGUAGCGGUGAAAUGCGCAGAUAUCAGGAGGAACACCGGUGGCGAAGGCGGUUCUCUGGGCAUUACCUGACGCUGAGGAGCGAAAGUGUGGGGAGCGAACAGG